rnacentral:misc_RNA from 1 species
AAGUCGUAACAAGGUUUCCGUAGGUGAACCUGCGGAAGGAUCAUUACCGAGUAAGGGUCACAAGGCCCAAACCUCCAACCCCCCUUGUAUAUCAACACACCGUUUCUUCGACAGGGUUUAGGCUGGGGUGCGAGGGAAUGCUCCACGAGCGAUUCCCCCCUCCAAUCCAUCCUCUCCUCCGGGAGAGGGCCUGUCAGAAGACCAAUAAACUCCAGUUGUCAUGCAUGUCUGAGUCUACAUAUAAUAAAUCAAAACUUUCAACAACGGAUCUCUUGGUUCUG